rnacentral:lncRNA from 1 species
CUUAGAAAGCUGCCAAACAAAUAUAUCCUUUCCAGUUGGUGAUAGGAAACAAUUUCCAGGCCAUCACCUUCCACAUUAUGUUUCAUCUUGGCAUUAAUUUUAAUGAAAUAAUAAUGUACUUGGCUCCAGAAUAUCAUUUACCAUCCAAGGAUCUCCAAGAGUUGGAAAACGUUGAAUGGAGAUGAGAUUGGUCAUUAAGCUAUGGAAUAUGCAGAGGACAUGCUAAUGCAUUUCUGCAUUUGGAUUCUGUCAUCCGGAAAGAGCUCCUCAGUUAUUCUGAUGGCCUUUUCAAAAAAGACUUGACAGCUGCAUGCUCUUCCGAUAUUAGGAAUUCUCGGGAACAGGUUCCAGGAAAGAACAUUUUCCAGGUUGAGAGUAUGAAAUCUCUCCUGUCUCUCACAGAUGAUCACACAGUGCUUCGCUAAGCAGACCUGAAGGAAUCGAUCUCUGUGGGGGCCGUGCACUAGAAUCACUGGAACUGGUAAUGUCGACUACAAAUCGUAGUCAGAAUGACAUUCUGUACGCUGUGAAUUGAAGAGUUCUAGGCCGUGAUGCUAAGUUUAAAAGUCUAUUGCAACUGACUUUCAGAUUAUAGUUAUAAUUCAAUAGUCAAAUUCUAUGCAACACUUAACAUAUCUCACGGGGAGACACUAGAGCUUUUAAAAUAGUAUUAAAUGCCCUCACGGAACCCUACAGCAUAAAAUUAUAAACUAAGGCAAUACUGUGGCAAUCAGGGUCACUCAUGCAACCUGCCUGUGUGUCCACAUAUUGAACAGAUCUACUCUGCAGGGACUCGUGCCCAAGGCUCAUUCUGGUGGCAACAAAGCCUUUUGGCAGCUGCACGUAUCCUGUCACGCAUACCAUUUUCUGGUUAGUACCGAAGGUUGCUUUUUUU